rnacentral:rRNA from 1 species
GACGAACGCUGGCGGCGUGCCUAAUACAUGCAAGUCGAGCGCAGGAAACUGACGGAACUCUUCGGAGGGAAGGCAGUGAAUGAGCGGCGGACGGGUGAGUAACACGUAAGGAACCUGCCUCAAGGAUUGGGAUAACUCCGAGAAAUCGGAGCUAAUACCGGAUAGUUCAACGGACCGCAUGGUCCGCUGAUGAAAGGCGCUCCGGCGUCACCUUGAGAUGGCAUUGCGGUGCAUUAGCUAGUUGGUGGGGUAACGGCCCACCAAGGCGACGAUGCAUAGCCGACCUGAGAGGGUGAUCGGCCACACUGGGACUGAGACACGGCCCAGACGCCUACGGGAGGCAGCAGUAGGGAAUCUUCCACAAUGGACGAAAGUCUGAUGGAGCAACGCCGCGUGAGUGAUGAAGGUUUUCGGAUCGUAAAACUCUGUUGUAAGGGAAGAACACGUACGAGAGGAAAUGCUCGUACCUUGACGGUACCUUACGAGAAAGCCACGGCUAACUACGUGCCAGCCGCCGCAGUAA